GGUGUUAAACCUAAAGGUAGCAGAGGUUAGGGCUCUAUGUAAGCAGUGUGGCCUCGACAGCAAGGGCUCUAAGAUGGACCUUGUCCUUCGUCUUCGUGAGAAAAUGGCCAGCAGGACGACAUAUAAUAAAGUGUUUGAGAAAGUCUGGGGUGCCUCUGGUGGUUGGGCUGUAGUAAUGUGCCCAUGUGGAGUCGUGUAUUCUGUAAAGUUUAAUCUCAGAGCUGAGAGUCCCAGAGACUUCACUGACAUGCUUCUGUCAUGGAAACAUUUUCCAAAUGUUACAGUGUAUGACUACGCAAGGGGGCUGGCCAGUCAUGCCAACUGCCGACAACCACUGGAUCCUCCCUUCCAUCCACAUGAGGGGAGGUUACUUCCUCCCUCACCAAAGAACAUCAAACUGGCUGCAGAGAGAAAGCUUAGGGUAGAUGGCAUGGCUUAAGCACAGGAAAGAGGAAGAGGACAAGGACUGCCAUCCAAUCACUGGAUCGUCUGAUCAUUAUGCUUUGCUUGAUGUUUUCCAUCAAUGCAACAGCAAAGAUGACAGGGAUCUCCUUCGGAGAAUUGAACUUGUUCCAGAGCUUGCUGGGCACAUUAACAGCCAGUGUACUGAGCAGUUAUUCUCCGGGAUGCGGAAAAACAAUUAUUUCCUUAAUAUGCUCACACCCUCUGCACACAUCUUCCUACAGAGGAAUAUCUUGCACCUCUACAAUGUGGACCGAAAUAACAAAGUGAAAGAACAGUUCAAGAAAAUUGUGGGAAGCAAUACUGCGUUUAGCCUUGAUGUUAAUGGAAGAAUCACCUUGGGGCAUCAAAGCAAA